CAGUCGCCGCGGGAAUACGAAGGGUGCAAGCGUUAAUCGGAAUUACUGGGCGUAAAGCGUGCGUAGGCGGUUUGUUAAGUCUGUUGUGAAAUCCCCGGGCUCAACCUGGGAAUGGCAAUGGAUACUGGCAAGCUAGAGUGUGUCAGAGGAUGGUGGAAUUCCCGGUGUAGCGGUGAAAUGCGUAGAGAUCGGGAGGAACAUCAGUGGCGAAGGCGGCCAUCUGGGACAACACUGGCGCUGAGGCACGAAAGCGUGGGGAGCAAACAGGAUUAGAUACCCCCGUAGUCCCUGUCUCUUAUAC
rnacentral:rRNA from 1 species